rnacentral:rRNA from 1 species
UUCAGCUGGGCACUCUAAUGAGACUGCCGGUGACAAACCGGAGGAAGGUGGGGAUGACGUCAAGUCCUCAUGGCCCUUAUAGGUGGGGCUACACACGUCAUACAAUGGCUGGUACAAAGGGUUACCAACCCGCGAGGGGGAGCUAAUCCUCAUAAAACCAGUCGUAGUCCGGAUCGCAGUCUGCAACUCGACUGCGUGAAGUCGGAAUCGCUAGUAAUCGUGGAUCAGAAUGUCACGGUGAAUACGUUCCCGGGUCUUGUACACACCGCCCGUCAC